UACGGGGGGUGCAAACGUUGCUCGGAAUUAUUGGGCGUAAAGCGCACGUAGGCGGUCUUGUAAGUCGGGUGUGAAAGCCCCAGGCUUAACCUGGGAAGUGCACUCGAAACUGCAAGGCUUGAGUAUGGAAGAGGGUCUCGGAAUUCCCGGUGUAGAGGUGAAAUUCGUAGAUAUCGGGAGGAACACCAGUGGCGAAGGCGGAGACCUGGGCCAAUACUGACGCUGAGGUGCGAAAGCGUGGGGAGCAAACAGG
rnacentral:rRNA from 1 species